rnacentral:rRNA from 1 species
AUUAGAGUUUGAUCAUGGCUCAGAUUGAACGCUAGCGGGAUGCCUUACACAUGCAAGUCGAACGGCAGCGCGGACUUCGGUCUGGCGGCGAGUGGCGAACGGGUGAGUAAUGUAUCGGAACGUGCCUAGUAGCGGGGGAUAACUACUCGAAAGAGUAGCUAAUACCGCAUACGCCCUACGGGGGAAAGGGGGGGAUCGCAAGACCUCUCACUAUUAGAGCGGCCGAUAUCGGAUUAGCUAGUUGGUGAGGUAAAGGCUCACCAAGGCGACGAUCCGUAGCUGGUUUGAGAGGACGACCAGCCACACUGGGACUGAGACACGGCCCAGACUCCUACGGGAGGCAGCAGUGGGGAAUUUUGGACAAUGGGGGCAACCCUGAUCCAGCCAUUCCGCGUGUGCGAUGAAGGCCUUCGGGUUGUAAAGCACUUUUGGCAGGAAAGAAAUCGCACCAAUUAAUACUUGGUGUGGAUGACGGUACCUGCAGAAUAAGCACCGGCUAACUACGUGCCAGCAGCCGCGGUAAUACGUAGGGUGCAAGCGUUAAUCGGAAUUACUGGGCGUAAAGCGUGCGCAGGCGGUUCGGAAAGAGAGGUGUGAAAUCCCAGGGCUCAACCUUGGAACUGCACUUUUAACUACCGAGCUAGAGUAUGUCAGA